UUUUCUCUUUAUUUUUUCGCCUUUCUCACUCACUCGUUCGUUUCGUUCAUCCACAACCCGUUCGUGAUGGGAUAGCCUGCUUGAAAUUCAACUGGUCAAAUAUUGAGAACUUAGUCCUAUCCAUAUCUGACUGUUCUCUUCGAGAACAGCUUGAAACGGUCAAAAUAAUACUUGUUGUUCUCUUUUUCUUCCUUGCUCUCCGUUUCUUUCUUUUUUCUUUUAUAAUUUCAUUUUUUUCCUUUAUCUUUUUACGGAAUCUCACAUCAUUGCUUCUCACAAUUUUCAUUCAUCAUUAAAGCUUGUAAUUUUUCUGACUAGUUACGUCUAAGAACGAAAUAUUGGCUUCAAACAACUAAACACAACUUCGUAAAACAAAGAAAAGGCGAAAAAUCAAGGCACUUCCUUAUUAGUAAUAACAAAUUUAUAAUUUACUAAAGAAAUAAUGUAAAUAAAUUACUAAGCAAUCAUACAGGUCCUUGCCCUUUUCUUUUUCCAUGUGGUAGUGAUUGCAAUUCGGAAACCCACCGAUAAACUAUUAUACCCGUCUCAAAUGUAAUAGUGUAUGUUUUCACCCUUUAGUGUAGUGGUUUUGAACUGGAGUAGUUAAAAAUUAUGUAAUAAAUCAGUUAUAUUUUUAUAAUAUACAAAAUAUUUUAGAAAUUUCUGAAUAGAUUUGUAAAUAAUAAUUUAAUUACAAAAAUAUGAUGGGAAGUUUUUAAACGUUGAAUCGCUAUGAGGGUCCAGGGUCCAUAAGAAAAAAAAAAUCACCCCAAAAACUGACUGAGGUCCACUACUUCAGUAAUUAAAAAAUUAGCUGUCAUUAAUAGGAAAGUAGGGAAACAAACAUCUGGGAGCUUGUCCCCCGAAACUAUAAUUGUCAUUUGUCUUUUGUGAUAUCGUUUUGGUAAUUUUGGUACCGAAAACCCAAAUAAUUUCGAUCUCUAAAUAAACAGGUGGUCCACAACCACUUUUUGUCUACGGACCUCUUGAUUCUUAUUUUAAUCUACUGGCUCCUCGUGAUCAGUUUUAUAAUGAAAAAUUAUUAGGAAUUGUAUUUAAAAAAUGAUAAAGAAAUUGCGUAUCGUACAAGUAUAAUGCAAUUAUUGCUUAUAGAUUUAAAAAAAAAAGAUUUUAUAAGGACCCACCCCCCAUCAGGUCAUAGGAACCUUGGUUGACAACCACUGAAUUAAGCCCUUCAACAUCAAUUAGAUUUCUAAGGUUUUUUUUUGAAAAUCGCAAGAAUUCUGCAAUUUCAAAUUUCAAAUUAAACUCCAGGAAAGAAAAAAAUGCUGUUUUCUUCCUGUCUCAGAAUUCACGAAGAAUCUUAGUAUAAUUUUCAACUUAAAAUUCCUGACCUAGAAAAAAAAAUCAUUAUUCUGAAGAAGGUAUUUAUAUUAAUGAACAAGUUAUAGGGAGCUGCCAACUAAAUAUAUCAAAGUAUUCAAUCGAAUACUUUAAGGAGUCCAAGGGGAAAAAAAAAAGAUUCUUUCAACCCUACCAUAUAGAUUUAUUCACUAAUUAAAAUAAUAAUUAGUUAGAGUUAACGGUUCUUUAAAAUAUGGUUUUUCUUCUAAUAGGAGUCGGAGAAACAUUAAAAACAAAAAAUUGAAAGAAUUCUCUCGCUAUUUACCCUUUCAGCACAAACUCCGUCCAAACAAAAUAAUGCGAUAGAAAAGUAACUUGUCGUUAUAUGACUCUUUUUCUGUAAAAGUAUGCGAAUAUAUAUAUAUAUAUAUGCAUGCAUACCUGCAUAUAUAUAAGUGUGCACGGUCGUGUGUGUGUGUGUGUAAGUUUAGAGAAUGCAACAUAUCAACGUAUUGACGUUAGUGAUAAAAGUCCGUUAAGAUCAAAUAUGAUACAAUAAUAAUACAAAUAAUAAUGCUAAUGACAACAAAAUCAACAACAUCAAUAAAUGAUUAAAGAGGCAAAGAAUAAAUGCAUGGAAUUAUAACUUUUUUUUCUGUUGAGUGAGAUAUUAGAGGAAAGCGAGAAAAGAAAGAUAUUUUGCACAGCUUCUUUGGAAAUGAAUAAGAAUACGGUAAGUUGGUGUGGAAAUAAAUGUAAAGAGGGUGCAUCGAUGAAGUACAGAGAAAGUACGGUAGAGAAAAAGGAAGAGAGAAAGAGAUAGAGAAAGAGAGAGGCAGAGAUAUGAAGGUAGGGAGAGAAGAAGUGUAUGUUUAAGUGUUUGUAUGUUUAUGUAAGUGUGUGAGUGUGUGUAUGUUUGCAUGUGUUGUCUGUAUGUGUAUGUGUGUGUUACAGUGAGCGAAUGAGAUAAAAUGUAAAAAUGUAAAGAUACAAUUGCACGCAAAAUGGGGUGUGUGGAAUAGAGAUAGAUAGAGAGAGAGAGAGUGAAGGAGAGAGGGAGAGAAGGAGAGAGAAAGAGAAAGAAAGAGAAAGAGAAAGAAAGAGAAAGAGAAAGAGAAGUAGAGAGAGAAAUAGAAAGAGAAGGAAAGAUAAUGGGUAAGAGAAAGUGGGGGGGUGAAAGAAAAAAUAUUAAAAAAAGAGAGAGACCAACCCGGCAACAGAAUCAACGGCACUACCCUCUGAGACUGUCGUUAAGGAGAGACUUACAGGUGAAAACACUGAUGGAUGAACAAGUGUCGGGGCAUUCGUCAAUAAUGCAUGCACGUAUACAUACAGGCAUGCAUGCGCGUCCUGACAGCCUACCGCACACACACUGCAGUAGACGCAUCAACAAUUAAUAUAGCAGCAGCAGCAGCAGCAGCAGUAGUAGUUGUAGCAGUGAAAGCAGCGGCAGCCUGUAGUUCUUCCGUCUUUUUCUUUCAUUCCUCCAUACGUCACUUUGUUGAUCUCUUUUCUUUUACUCUUUUUUUCAUGGCACCCACUCUUCAACAUUUUGUUGCUUACUUUCACUUUCACUUUCGUUUUCUUCACGUACAUGUAUUCUCAUAUGCAUACACACAUACACACAUAUAUAUAUAUAUGUACGUAUGUAUGUACGUGUUUGAGUGAAUAUAUAUGUACGUAUGUAUGUAUGUGUUUGAGUGUAUGUGUGUUUGUAUAUAUUUGUAUACGUAUUGUGUACUUAUUGUCUUUCGUUUCUUUUCAAAUAUGCCACUGUCAUUUGUUUAUCUAUCGCUUUUUUGUUUGUUAUCGCUAGCAUUUGACUGGUUUCACAGAAGAACGAAAAGAAAAAAAUAAUAAUAAUAAAAAUGAAAGCAACACAUCCAACACUCGCUCUUUUCAAGAAUUUAUAUCUUACACAAUGAUUUCUCCGUAAAGUGGUGCAUACAUGUAUACAUACAUAUAUACAUGUUUCCUUUGUUUCUGUACAAUAAAUUCUCUUUGAUUUUUGAAACAUUCAAACAUUCAGAGAGAUGUACACAUAGAUAUUUGUCCUAUCCGUCAUCCGUUUUCAUUUACUUUCUGUUAAAUCAUUGCCUCUCUUCCUCUCACUUCUGUCAUUCUCUAACACACUUUGUCUUUCUCUUACUCUAUCAC
rnacentral:lncRNA from 1 species